UGUAAACCUAGUUCUUGAUGUACC
rnacentral:siRNA from 1 species